CAUAUCAGUAAGCGGAGGAAAAGAAACUAACCAGGAUUCUCCUAGUAACGGCGAGUGAACGGAGAUUAGCCCAGCACCGAAGCCCAUUCGCGUUUGCGGACAGGGCAGUGUGGUGUUUAGGCGUGCCCCUGGACAGGCCGUUCUACUCUAAGUCCAACUCCGAUUAUGGCUUUGGAUGUGUUCCAUAGCGGGUGAAAGGCCCGUGAGAGUAGACUUGUUGUUUUGGCUUGUCUUAGAUGUGCACGCCUUGGAGUCGGAUUGCUUGAGAAUGCAGUCCAAAGUGGGUGGUAAACUCCAUCCAAGGCUAAAUACUGGCACGAGUCCGAUAGUAAACAAGUACCGUGAGGGAAAGUUGAAAAGCACUCUGAAGAGAGAGUGAAUAGUACGUGAAACCGCUCGUAUGGAAGCUGAAGGAGUCAAGCUUUUUGCAUUGGCAAUUUGUGUGACGAUAUUUGUUGAUUUGGGUUGCAGUGCUGCUUUCUGGAAAUGAUUGGGUCAUUCGUGGCUACAAACUUUCUGGGUUGUCGGCUUGUCAGUGCUGUUCAUCCACUUCGUUGCAUUAUUUGUCUUUGUGAGUAUCAUGGUCAACGCGCUCGUGGUGCAGGAUUGUCUAACUAUGUUACGGUGGGCUUCAUGCUCGCCGAGCAUGGGACGGCAGAAGGUAGCCUUUCAGUGCAAGCUGAUCGUGCUACGUAUUUGGCUGACAGUCUUGUUUAAAUACUAUCGAGCGUGUUGUUUACAUGAAAACAGUUUACUGUUUCAAUAGCCAUGAUAUUGAAGUAGAUGUUCCUUCAGACCCGUCUUGAAACACGGACCAAGGAGUUUAACAUGUGCGCAAGUCAAAGGAUCUUACGAAAUCCAAUGGCGUAAUGAAAGUGAAAGAGUGCUUUUCGCAUUCGAAGGUGUGAUACGGUCGUGUCCUCAACAGGGCUGGCUGUCGCAACACCGGCCCGUCUCGUUACGUAGUCAUGUUGGCCACGGCUGGCGUGCAUCGUGGAGGCGGAGCAAGAGCGUACAUGUUGAGACCCGAAAGAUGGUGAACUAUGCUUGCGUAGGUCGAAGCCAGAGGAAACUCUGGUGGAGGACCGUCGCGGUUUUGACGCGCAAAUCGAUCGUCAAACGUGAGCAUAGGGGCGAAAGACUAAUCGAACCAUCUAGUAGCUGGUUCCCUCCGAAGUUUCCCUCAGGAUAGCUGGCACUUGCUUUACACAGUUUUAUCCGGUAAAGCGAAUGAUUAGAGGUAUUGGGGACUACAUGACCUCAACCUAUUCUCAAACUAUAAAUGGGUACGAUGCAUGGCUCGCUUAAUUGGAGUUGUGCAUUGAAUGUGAGUGCCAAGUGGGCCAUUUUUGGUAAGCAGAACUGGCGCUGUGGGAUGCUCCGAACGUCGAGAUAAGGUGCCCAAUGCUGACGCUCAUGAGAAACCACAAAAGGUGUUAAUGCAUAUAGACAGCAGGACGGUGGCCAUGAAAGUCGGAAUCCGCUAAGGAGUGUGUAACAACUCACCUGCCGAAUGCAUUAGCCCU
rnacentral:rRNA from 1 species